rnacentral:rRNA from 1 species
AUUGAACGCUGGCGGCAGGCCUAACACAUGCAAGUCGAACGGUAGCACAGAGAGCUUGCUCUCGGGUGACGAGUGGCGGACGGGUGAGUAACGUCUGGGAAACUGCCCGAUGGAGGGGGAUAACUACUGGAAACGGUAGCUAAUACCGCAUAACGUCGCAAGACCAAAGUGGGGGACCUUCGGGCCUCACACCAUCGGAUGGUCCCAGAUGGGAUGAGCUAGUAGGUGGGGGAAUAGCUCACCUAGGCGACGAUCCCUAGCUGGUCUGAGAGGAUGACCAGCCACACUGGAACUGAGACACGGUCCAGACUCCUACGGGAGGCAGCAGUGGGGAAUAUUGCACAAUGGGCGCAAGCCUGAUGCAGCCAUGCCGCGUGUAUGAAGAAGGCCUUCGGGUUGUAAAGUACUUUCAGCGGGGAGGAAGGCGGUGAAGUUAAUAGCUUAACCGAUUGACGUUACCCGCAGAAGAAGCACCGGCUAACUCCGUGCCAGCCGCCGCGGUAA